GAUGAACGCUGGCGGCGUGCCUAAUACAUGCAAGUCGUACGGAAAGGCCCUUCGGGGUACUCGAGUGGCGGACGGCUGAGUAACGCGUGGGAACGUGCCCCAAAGUGAGGGAUAACGCACCGAAAGGUGUGCUAAUACCGCGUAUGGUCUUCGGAUUAAAGCUUCGGCGCGUUUGGAGCGGCCCGCGUACGAUUAGAUAGUUGGUGAGGUAAUGGCCCACCAAGUCGACGUUCGUUAGCUGGUCUGAGAGGAUGAUCAGCCAGACUGGGACUGAGACACGGCCCAGACUCCUACGGGAGGCAGCAGUAAGGAAUCUUCCACAAUGGGGGCAACCCUGAUGGAGCAACGCCGCGUGCAGGAUGAAGGUUUUCGGAUCGUAAACUGCUUUUAUAAGUGAAGAAUAUGACGGUAACUUAUGAAUAAGGAUCGGCUAACUACGUGCCAGCCGCCGCAGUAA
rnacentral:rRNA from 1 species